rnacentral:rRNA from 1 species
GCUCAGUAACACGUAGUCAACAUGCCCAGGGGACGUGGAUAACCUCGGGAAACUGAGGAUAAACCGCGAUAGGUCAUCACUUCUGGAAUGGGUAAUGACUUAAAUCUAUAUGGCCCCUGGAUUGGACUGCGGCCGAUCAGGCUGUUGGUGAGGUAAUGGCCCACCAAACCUGUAACCGGUACGGGCUCUGAGAGGAGGAGCCCGGAGAUGGGCACUGAGACAAGGGCCCAGGCCCUAUGGGGCGCAGCAGGCGCGAAACCUCUGCAAUAGGCGAAAGCUUGACAGGGUUACUCUGAGUGAUUUCCGUUAAGGAGAUCUUUUGGCACCUCUAAAAAUGGUGCAGAAUAAGGGGUGGGCAAGUCUGGUGUCAGCCGCCGCGGUAAUACCAGCACCCCGAGUGGUCGGGACGUUUAUUGGGCCUAAAGCAUCCGUAGCCGGUUCUACAAGUCUUCCGUUAAAUCCACCUGCUUAACAGAUGGGCUGCGGAAGAUACUAUAGAGCUAGGAGGCGGGAGAGGCAAGCGGUACUCGAUGGGUAGGGGUAAAAUCCGUUGAUCCAUUGAAGACCACCAGUGGCGAAGGCGGCUUGCCAGAACGCGCUCGACGGUGAGGGAUGAAAGCUGGGGGAGCAAACCGGAUUAGAUACCCGGGUAGUCCCAGCUGUAAACGAUGCAGACUCGGUGAUGAGUUGGCUUAUUGCUAACUCAGUGCCGCAGGGAAGCCGUUAAGUUUGCCGCCUGGGGAGUACGGUCGCAAGACUGAAACUUAAAGGAAUUGGCGGGGAAGCACCA